ACACUGCUGAGGAGUCCCAUACCAGGACGAAACGUCCGUCCAGUGC
rnacentral:hammerhead_ribozyme from 1 species